CGAAGACAUGAAGAAUAAGGUUUCGUCGCAAUACGUGGAGUUGGAUAAAUUUUUGUUUUGGGUUCUCUAUCUUCCUUCUUUCUAAUUUUACUUUCUAAGUUUAGUCGACAUUUUUCUUUGCUUAAAUUUGGAGGUUUUGAUAUCUAGGCAUUUCAUAAAUAGCUUAAAUAGUUCUUUAGUUUUGGGAAUUCCAUAUUCUGAUUUUUGAGGUAACUUUUUUACCUUUGUUUAGAUGCUUAUUCUUUGUUCUCUGUGUCUGUUAGUUUGUUUUUGAACCGAAACUAACUUCUUGUUCUUAAAUUCAUUCUUUUGAUUUGAUUUUUUGAAUUUCAAGUUUAAUCCUAUUUUUAAUUUCUAUUGUUUAAAUAGUGUGUGCCAAGAAUGUUGUGAGAAUGCAAUUUAUUAGGUUCAUGUAGUGGACCUCCAUGAUUUCUUCAUUAGUAUCCUUGCUUGACGUCUGGCAAACAUUGAAUUAGUUGAAGCAGACCUCGAUUUGGCUCCAGAUCCCAGUCUCAACAUCUCGAGUGGUCAUCAGGUAAAUGGAGUAGGACAAAUACAAACUCUUCAUAAAGAAAAAAAAAAAAAAAAAAACAAUGAAUCAAUAUUUUCAUAUGCAGUGAGUAUUAUUUAUGAGUUGCUUCUCAUGUUCUAUGAAUAGCCGUGACAUGAGGAAUAAAAGCAUUUAGCAACUUGGACUAAUUCUAUAUUUGUUCCUUCCAGAUAAGGGGAAAAAGGAUGUGAAAGAAUAUAUUUUUCUUCUUAGUUGAUGAAUCUCAUUUAUUGAUCAAUAUGUGAUAUUCCAACUCCUCAUCACUAUUGAAAUCCAUAUGAUAUUGCGAUUUAUUCGUUUUUGCCUAAACUCAAUUACUCAAACAAAACAAGAUCUUCAUUCUUUAUUUGUUUUUUUCCUUUUCACUAUUUUAACUGAGUAAAUAUCAUUUCUUAAUGCAUUUGGUUAAUUUUGGGGUUUCACUUUCACGCAAUACCCUAUACCGAAGGAGACAAGUACCAUGGCGCAAAAGCAACUCUCAAUGUUUGGUAACCUAAAAUACAACAGCAUCAUAACGAGUUCAAUUUGUCCCAAAUUUGGUUACUAGGUGGUUCAUUUGGUGAAGAUCUCAAUAGCAUUAAAGCUGGUUGGUAGGUAUAUUUUUCUCCAAAUUACUUGGUCGAUCAUAAUUUGUUGCAUUCAUCUAACGGAUUAGAAUGCAUGUUAUUUCAAGUUAGCCCUGAUCUCUACGGGGAUAAAAACAUAACCAUUUUUUAAUACAUACCUAUAGACAAUUUAAAAAAGAAUGCCAGCUCAUAUUAAAUAGAAGUUAAUUAUAAGUACAAAAACUCAAAGAAAGCAUUUAAUGGAGGUUCUUAAUAGUUAGUCUUGUGUUUUGGAACAUGCUUAUAUUAUGUGACAAUUAUGCUUCUAUUCCAAUCCAAUUUAGCACAUAGAAUAAAAUCUUCAAUUGGCACCCGAUGUCGGAUGUAAAUGAUAACUGGAGCUAAUUGGUUAUAUGUAGAGGAAAUUUUACUAUUAGUUCAUCUCAAGCAUAAAUAAAAUAGUUAAUUCCUAAGCAAGUUGGAGUAUAGUACGAAUCAUGCUGUAAAUUUCUCUGUGAAAAUGAUUUUCUUAUAUUUGUAGUUUUUUUUCAUGGAACAAGCUUUGAGAAAUCGUUUGGCAAUGAUGAGAGAAGAGAAAGAAAAUCCGAUUUUUGAGAAUUCUUAAAAUGAAAGAACGACGAGAAUCGAUUCCCUAAAAAAGAAAGCACUGAACGUGUCUUCAAAGUCAAGCAUAGAGUGGUGUUAGUGGCAACUUUGUUUCAUUUGAGGAUAUUCGAGAUGCUAAUGAGCUACAAGCUAUUAAGGCAUUUCGACGAGCCUUGAUGCUAAUUGCCAAACAAGUUUGAUGAUUAUCAUAUGAUGUUGAGGUUAUUAUACAACACUUUUGCUACAUUUCCUCAAAUGUUGCAUGUACGAAUGGAAAUAUAAAGUGUAUCCUGGUUUAACAUGUACAUGUCUCGAUUUUGUCCUCAUUACUAUGGAGGUAACUAGACAUCCCUUCCUCCUUUAGUAGGACAAUUUAUGAUUUUGUUGCAUUACUUUAUAGUUUUUCCUAUAUUGCAGUCGGUGGUUAAGAUUUUGAGAACAUUUUAGUAUAUAGUUGGAAAAGUAUCAACUAUUUGAAUUUUUAUUGAUAAUUAUCCUGAAGUAACAUUUCGAUCUUUUAUUUGAUCAGAGAUAUUAGGUUUUGUUUAGUCUUGGUAGUGUAAUAUAUUGUGUCAUCCAAAUGUUGCAGAUAUUUUAUAAAAUAUUUAUCAUCAAGAUGGUCCAGGUAUUAUGCUACUGUAGAAUAUUGUAAAGAGUUCUCUUGAUCCCAGGGUCGCCACUAAGAUACAUGUAUGUUGCUAUUUCUUCAUUUUUCCAUCUGGAAACAUUAUUUUUCUCACUUAAAUGGCCAACUUUAAUUACUUAGUCUAUCUUUUUUCUGGAAUAUCUCACAUGUUCUUGGAAACAAAUAUAAGAACAAGUUGCUUGAAAUAAACGAUACCAAGUGCAAAACAAUGAGAACCGUUGUUGCAAAUUACGAACAUUGAAAUUUAUUUCGAGAUUCUGAAGUAAAUUUUUGGGUGUGUGUAGUGAUCAGAAUUCUUCGAUGGAACAUAUAUCUUUGUAGACUAAGGGGUUUGCCUUCGGUUAGAUAAAGGACCAUGAAAAAUUCCCCGAGAUACAAAAGGUUCUUCCUAACAUGGGAGCUAUUAAAUUGAUCUACAAAGAUAAUAUAUAAAUACUUGUCUUAUAAUUUUGAUCAUGUUAAAAAAUAAUAAAUGGCUCGAAAUCAUGUUGCAGAUAGUGCUUGAUGGUGAAGUACGACUGCCAGGAAGGUGGUUGAAAAUCUUAACAACGACGGAGAGAUAGUUUAUGCUAAGCCCCACUACUAGAUUGUAUAGACUAUGUCUGUUGUGCAUAUGAUUAGGCACAACUACACAAUAUUUCUGUUUUAUGUGAGAUUUUGUUUUUAUUUGGUCGUUGAAGCAGGUAAAAGGCAGUGACACCUCAACUGUUGAAUUUGUUUCUGAAGCUGAAGAUAUUUCUUUCACCAAAACCUAUUAGGAGUUACUCGCAUCUUUGAUUGACUCCUGUUUGUGAGGAGGUAUGGUCAAGCCUUACAAUUUCAAGAUUAAAUAUUUAAUUAGCUACUAUUGAAAAUAAUGUUUUAUAUAAGUUUAAUUGAAACCUCCCUUAUUUAGUGUUGAUUCUGGUGGUAGCUUGUGCAAAUAUUUAAUUUGGUGCUCGUAGAUCAGUUAGUAUUUGCUUAAUUGCAACACAAGUGCAAAAUUAUCAAUUGCUUGAUAUCGUCUCUUUGAUUGGUUUAAAAGCAUCUGUAUAUACCCUAAAAAGGUGUCCAGUUUCAUGAAAUUCAAAUUUAGAUCAGAUUUUUAUAGGUCGGGUUGUGCAAUCUUUUGCUACUAAAAAAAUCAAGUAAAGUGACAUUAUUUAAGAGUUCAUUGGUUGUUUGAUAAUUAUUAUUUAUAAUGUCUAUCAUUUUAUUUAUGAUAUAAGGUACAAAUUCUUCAUGAAAUAUAACUAAGUACACAGUUUCUUGUAAGAAAUAUUUUUUCCUAUAAAACUAAUUUUCCUUACUUAAGAAAGGGAUAUCUUUACCAUAUACAGUGUGAACACAGCAUAGAAAAGUUUUGACACUUUCUCAAUCCCUCACAAAAAUUAAUGUGGAGGAUCAACCUUUCUCUUUUGAUUAUCUCAUGUCCUUGUUUCUCUAGUUAAAGCUAAUGGAAACUCUAGCUUGGUAACUUAUCACGAUAUGAUGAGUAUGUUCCUAUGGUUGACACAGUUGUUGAUUCUGGAUGGAAAAAGCAGACAUCACUUUCAAAACCUUAUAUUUUUAAAGGUUAGUUGCUUUAGAAGUUCCACUUUUGUAUCUAUCUCCAUACAUAAUAUUUGAAUCAGCCUACAAUCUUCUCAUGCUUAUUUAUUCAUCUAAUACUUGUUUCGAAGACCUAGGGGCUAUCCUUUUCUUCGGUUGAACUCAUCUUUCUGUCAUUGCAAACGUCGCCUUAGGUGCUCAUUUUUAUUCUUACAACUCUCAUCAUAUGGUGAUCAUGUUUAGAGGUUAUCUAUGAUUAACUUAUGAUUGUUCUUUUGUUAAUAGCUAUGCCUUAAUAACCUUUUGUUAUAUCCUGAUAUUAAAUGACUGCUAUAUUGGAGAUAUAAGAUUAGCUAUGUCUAAAUAAGAUUACAAUGACACUAGAUUAGUAACUAUUUUUUGAUUGCAUAGUAUAUUAUUUUUCCUCUCUUUGAUUUUUAUAUCUCGAGGUAUAAGAUAAAAGAAAAGGAAAAAAUUGUU
rnacentral:lncRNA from 1 species